CGGGCCGCGCCUGCGCAAUUCAUUGGCGCCAAGAUGGCGAUGGAGAUGAGGCUGCCGGUGGCUCGCAAGCCUCUUAGCGAGAGUCUGGGCCGCGAGACUAAGAAACACCUGGUGGUGCCAGGGGACACGAUCACCACGGACACGGGCUUCAUGCGGGGCCACGGGACUUACAUGGGGGAAGAGAAACUUAUUGCAUCCGUGGCCGGUUCUGUGGAAAGAGUAAACAAGUUGGUCUGUGUGAAAGCUUUGAAAACCAGAUACAAUGGUGAAGUAGGGGACAUCGUGGUGGGGAGGAUCACAGAGGUUCAGCAGAAGAGGUGGAAGGUGGAGACGAACUCCAGGCUGGAUUCCGUCUUGCUGCUUUCUUCCAUGAACCUUCCAGGAGGAGAGCUGAGGAGAAGAUCUGCAGAAGACGAGCUGGCCAUGAGAGGCUUCUUGCAGGAAGGAGACCUCAUCAGUGCUGAGGUGCAGGCAGUGUUCUCUGACGGAGCUGUUUCCCUGCACACGAGGAGUCUGAAAUACGGAAAACUAGGUCAGGGUGUUCUGGUCCAGGUGUCCCCCUCCCUGGUGAAGCGGCAGAAGACUCACUUCCAUGACCUGCCUUGUGGUGCCUCAGUGAUUCUGGGUAACAACGGCUUCAUCUGGAUCUACCCUACCCCUGAGCACAAAGAAGAGGACGCAGGGGGCUUCAUUGCAAACCUGGAGCCUGUCUCCCUUACUGAGCAAGAGGAUCUCCCGGCUUUGGAGAUCACUAAUUGAGCCGCACUGGCCAGGGCAAGAUGCUGACGUUAUUAAGAAAUGCCAGAAUUCCUGUGCACUGGUUUGUCUGAUGUUUAAAAAAUGGUUUAAAGGCACUGUUUCUGUUCUUGUGUCCUUUGUAAUACUUGAGAACUGAGUACAGUUGAAGGAGGACAUAGCAGAUAAACAUUCUGCCAGAGGCUCUAACUACUGAGGUCACCUAAUAAAAAUUUAAACCUAGGAGAGUUUCAAUGGUGGUAACAUGGAACACUGUUUUUGACAAUUUUGAAUAAAGUUUGGCUGUUUUUCAUUAAGUGAUAUAUAUAUAUAUUCAAUAUAUUUUUAUUGAUUUUCAGAGAGGAAGGGAUGGCAGAGAGAAAUAUCAAUAAUGAGACAAUAGGCUGCCUCCUGCACACCCCCUACUGGGGAUUGAGCCCACAAUCCAGGCAAGUGCCCUGAUAGGGAAUUGAAAAGUGAUUUCCUGGUUCAUAGGUCGAGACACCACAGAGCCACAUCAGCCAGGCAUAAAGGGUAUAUUUCUUGUUUAUAAUACUCAAUAGACAAUUUUUAAAUAUCUCAUUCUUUUUCUGUUCCAAGUGUAUCAGUUGUUUUGAGGAGUUUGCAGACAACUGAAUAUUCUACAGGCUGUUGCAACUUAGGUUUGCUUACCUGUCAUUUUUGAGAACACAGGCCAGGCCAUAUGCCUCUUGAGAGAAGGGAAUAAAAGAUGGGAGCUCGAGUCCCUGGUUUGGUUUGGUUUUAACCAAGGCCAUAUGUGAGCUUAUUGAAAGUUAUUCUUCUCAAUGAACCAUCCCGAGCUGCCAACCUAUGCUGUUCAGUAUCUGCUGAAGGGUGGUACCUCAGAGUAGAAAUAAGAGGGCUAAAGCACCUUUUAGUGGUUAUUUUCUGUGGCCCACUAGAGGGCGCCCUUGUUAAGUAUAUUCUAGCGGGCGGAAGAAAUGGAAUAAACUGAACGGAAUAGGAUAGAUGAAUUACACCGGUACUGAAGCCCUUUAGCAAUUUGGUGGAUCUAUUGUCAGGAUUUCCUGGGCUCUGUUUCAAGUUCUCAAAAUAUUCUACAGUGUUCUACACGGGGUAAAAAAGUAUAUUGAAUCUCUAAAAAUAUAGACUGGGCUUGGGGCUCACCUAAAAUUAGAAAAUGGCUAAAGUAGAGAAUGGAGAUUUGGGAUAAGUGUUUAGAUUAAGUACAGCUGGCCUCUAUACUGACUUUCAUAAAACAAUUUCAAUUUUUGUGGAAAA